rnacentral:rRNA from 1 species
UACAGGGGGUGCAAACGUUGCUCGGAAUUACUGGGCGUAAAGCGUGCGCAGGCGGUUCGUUAAGUCAGAUGUGAAAGCCCCGGGCUCAACCUGGGAACUGCAUUUGAAACUGGCGGGCUUGAGUGUGGCAGAGGGGGGUGGAAUUCCGCGUGUAGCAGUGAAAUGCGUAGAGAUGCGGAGGAACACCGAUGGCGAAGGCAGCCCCCUGGGCCAACACUGACGCUCAGGCACGAAAGCGUGGGGAGCAAACAGG